rnacentral:rRNA from 1 species
AGCGUAGAUGGAUGGACAAGUCUGAUGUGAAAGGCUGGGGCUCAACCCCGGGACUGCAUUGGAAACUGCCCGUCUUGAGUGCCGGAGAGGAAAGGGGAAUUCCCAGUGUAGCGGUGAAAUGCGUAGAUAUUGGGAGGAACACCAGUGGCGAAGGCGCCUUUCUGGACUGUGUCUGACGCUGAGAUGCGAAAGCCAGGGUAGCGAACG